GGGCGGGACUGCAGGGACCAAAAUAAAACCAAUGUUGGACUCACUGAAUAAGCAUCAUGUCGAUGGCAGAAGGGACAUUAUCAUUCGUUGCUUAGUUGAGUAUCUUGGAGAGAGUGGAGAGGAGCUGAUCAAAGACCAUCAGGACGUCAGCCAAGAAGCAUUGAAAGAGGACUGCAGUAAUCACAUGAUGAAGAUCAUCGUAAUCCA